CCCAGCAGCUAAACACACCUGGUACAAGGAGAACCAAACUCUGCUCAGUGAAGAACCACAGCUUGUCUUCAGCUCCAUCCAGUCCUCUGACUCUGGAGAGUAUUACUGUGCAGCUGAGAACCAGCUGGGGAGGAAGACAACUAAAUACAUCAUUAAUGUGAAAUAUGCUCCAAAGCUUCCCUCUGUGUCAGUGAGUCCCUCUGCUGAGAUAGUGGAGGGCAGUUCAGUGACUCUGACCUGCAGCAGUGAUGCUAACCCAGCAGCUAAAUACACCUGGUACAAGGAGAAUCAAACACUGAUUCAGGGACCAGAGGACAUUUAUCAUUUCACCUCUAUCAGCUCUAAGGACAGCGGGAUCUACCACUGCAAGGUUGAGAAUGAGUAUGGCCAGAUCAACUCCACAUCUGUAUCCAUAGAUGUCCAGUAUGCUCCAAAGCUUCCCUCUGUGUCAGUGAGUCCCUCUGCUGAGAUAG